CCGAAACAUUUAUUUUUUGAGUUUCAUUUCAGUAACACACAGCAUAAUAUUGAAUCAGAACAGAAUAUCUAAGAGAAACUCAUUAAUCUGUAAUCAGUGGAUUUUGAAGUGGACUCGACAUAUUUUGUAAAUUUGUGAAUAUUUUGGCUUUAGCUUGUUGAACUACAUUUGAAGUAUAGUGUCUAGUUCUAGUUCCAGUGUGUGGUGCAUAUAUUUGAUAGAAACGAGAAACGGCCAUACACUCCAGUAAAGGGGACAGGAAGGAGAUAGAAGAGGCUAUUUCUAAAUGGGUUGGAGGAGCCAACGAUAGAAAAUAUAAUAUAUCAUAAGUGUUUCCUGUUCAGAGUGUAUAUAUACCUAUAUAUCUGCUUCUUUGAUAUUCAGUUUUUUAUAGUUUAGUUUUUUUUUUUGCUUAGGGGCAGUAGUCCAAUGUUCAAAUUAUACUUGUUAUUUAUUUUAUUUUAAUUUUUCACAUAAAGAUGUGGAACAUU